UACUUCUCUGUUCCACAGUAC
rnacentral:miRNA from 1 species